AUGCACCAUCGAUCCGCCCCAGGAGGAUGGGGAAGAAUAUGUUACGUUGGUUGGAGGCUCAUCACAUGGUACAGGGCAUUGACUUGGAACUGUUGGCGCAAGGGGAUCAUGGUUCAUUCCGAUGAGCUCGGUACUGUCUCCUUGCCUCAGCUAGGAGGUAGUGCCUGUGGUUUAAAACUGCCACUCAAGGACCUGAGAGUAGCUGCUCCUAUUCUGCACAGCGACGGUGAUGCUGUUUACCUCGCGUCCGCGCUGCAUGAGCGGGACCCAACUGCAUGGAUUGUCGCUGUUGACACUAGGAGGAAAUCGGUGGAAGAGCUUAUGCCAUACUCUGCAAAGGGGCUGUAUCUUUACGAUCCGACCUACAUUCCAUAUGUGCUGACCGAAUAUCUGAAUGAUAAAGCAGAUGGAGCUCAGGUACAGACGCAAAAUGCUUGUCAUCACACUCCACGAAACUUUGAUGGGUCCGAGAAGAAGCGGCAGCGACUUUCACAUACAGAAUAUGAAGUCUGA
rnacentral:rRNA from 1 species